ACUCCUACGGGAGGCAGCAGUAACGAAUCUUCCGCAAUGCACGAAAGUGUGACGGAGCGACGCCGCGUGGAGGACGAAGUCCCUCGGGAUGUAAACUCCUGUCAGGGGCCACCAAGUUCUGAGGGGCCCCAGAGGAAGGCACGGCUAACUCUGUGCCAGCAGCCGCGGUAAGACAGAGGUGCCGAGCGUUAGGCGGAAUCACUGGGCUUAAAGCGUGUGUAGGCGGACCGUUAAGUGUCUUGUGAAAUCCCACGGCUCAACCGUGGAACGGCUGGGCAUACUGGCGGUCUUGAGCGGUCCAGGGGCGAGCGGAACAAGCGGUGGAGCGGUGAAAUGCGUAGAUAUCGCUUGGAACGCCGACGGUGAAAACAGCUCGCUGGGGACCCGCUGACGCUGAGACACGAAAGCCAGGGGAGCGAACGGGAUUAGAUACCCCGGUAGUCCUGGCCCUAAACGAUGUCCACUAGGUCACGGGCCCUUUUGACGGGGCUCGUGGCCGAAGCAAAAGUGCUAAGUGGACCGCCUGGGAAGUACGGUCGCAAGGCUAAAACUUAAAGGAAUUGACG
rnacentral:rRNA from 1 species